rnacentral:lncRNA from 1 species
CCGUGAAUUCCCAACACCUGCAGGAAGACAGACUUGGCUUACAUAUUUUGUGAACUGCCGCAGUAUGUGUUAAUUUUAUGACUUACAUAAUUAUUCCUUUUUAUGUGUCUUAAAUGUCAAGGUCCCUGAAGUAACAGGAACAAGAGUAGCAAAUUAAGUAACUUUGACUGAACUUAUGAAGUCCUCAGUAUUUCGGCAACCUUUCAACAUCAGUAACUUCCACAGAAUAAUAUUAUGAAUUUUGGGAAUCCCCCCCAAA